rnacentral:rRNA from 1 species
AGUGAACGCUGGCGGUAGGCCUAACACAUGCAAGUCGAACGGCAGCACAGUAAGAGCUUGCUCUUACGGGUGGCGAGUGGCGGACGGGUGAGGAAUACAUCGGAAUCUACUUUUUCGUGGGGGAUAACGUAGGGAAACUUACGCUAAUACCGCAUACGACCUACGGGUGAAAGCAGGGGAUCUUCGGACCUUGCGCGAUUGAAUGAGCCGAUGUCGGAUUAGCUAGUUGGCGGGGUAAAGGCCCACCAAGGCGACGAUCCGUAGCUGGUCUGAGAGGAUGAUCAGCCACACUGGAACUGAGACACGGUCCAGACUCCUACGGGAGGCAGCAGUGGGGAAUAUUGGACAAUGGGCGCAAGCCUGAUCCAGCCAUACCGCGUGGGUGAAGAAGGCCUUCGGGUUGUAAAGCCCUUUUGUUGGGAAAGAAAACCAGCAGGUUAAUACCCCGCUGUUCUGACGGUACCCAAAGAAUAAGCACCGGCUAACUUCGUG